GAUGAACGCUAGCGGCAGGCCUAACACAUGCAAGUCGAGGGAGAAGCCCUUCGGGGCAGAAACCGGCGCACGGGUGCGUAACGCGUAUGCAACCUACCUUUCACAGGGGGAUAGCCCGGAGAAAUUUGGAUUAAUAUCCCAUAAUAUUGUUGGAUGGCAUCAUUUGGCAAUUAAAGUUACGAUGGUGGAAGAUGGGCAUGCGUCCUAUUAGCUAGUUGGCGAGGUAACGGCUCGCCAAGGCGACGAUAGGUAGGGGUCCUGAGAGGGAGAUCCCCCACACUGGUACUGAGACAGGGACCAGACUCCUACGGGAGGCAGCAGUGAGGAAUAUUGGUCAAUGGUCGGAAGACUGAACCAGCCAUGCCGCGUGCAGGAAGGCGGCCUUAUGGGUUGUAAACUGCUUUUAUAUGGGAAGAAUAAGGGGUACGUGUACUUUGAUGACGUACCAUAUAAUAAGCUCGCA
rnacentral:rRNA from 1 species